CACGCCUAACACAUGCAAGUCGAACGAAGUAGCAAUACUUAGUGGCAGACGGGUGAGUAACAUGUAGGUAUCUACCCUUUGGCCUGGAAUAACACGAGGAAACUUGUGCUAAUACCGGAUAAGUCUUUACGGAGAAAGCUUUAUGCACCAUUGGAUGAGCCUGCACUUGAUUAGUUUGUUGGUGGGGUAAUGGCCUACCAAGACUGUGAUCAAUAGCUGAUUUGAGAGGAUGAUCAGCCACAUUGGGACUGAGACACGGCCCAAACUCCUACGGGAGGCAGCAGUGGGGAAUCUUGCACAAUGGAGGAAACUCUGAUGCAGCGAUGCCGCGUGAGUGAAGAAGGCCCUUGGGUUGUAAAGCUCUUUCGUCGGGGAAGAAAAUGACUGUACCCGAAUAAGAAGGUCCGGCUAACUUCGUGCCAGCAGCCGCGGUAAUACGAAGGGACCUAGCGUAGUUCGGAAUUACUGGGCUUAAAGAGUUCGUAGGUGGUUGAAAAAGUUGGUGGUGAAAUCCCAGAGCUUAACUCUGGAACUGCCAUCAAAACUUUUCAGCUAGAGUAUGAUAGAGGAAAGCAGAAUUUCUAGUGUAGAGGUGAAAUUCGUAGAUAUUAGAAAGAAUACCAAUUGCGAAGGCAGCUUUCUGGAUCAUUACUGACGCUGAGGAACGAAAGCAUGGGUAGCGAAGAGGAUUAGAUACCCUCGUAGUCCAUGCCGUAAACGAUGUGUGUUAGACGUUGGAAAUUUAUUUUCAGUGUCGCAGCGAAAGCGAUAAACACACCGCCUGGGGAGUACGACCGCAAGGUUAAAACUCAAAUGAAUUGACGGGGACCCGCACAAGUAGUGGAGCAUGUGGUUUAAUUCGAAGAUACGCGCAGAACCUUACCAACACUUGACAUGUUCG
rnacentral:rRNA from 1 species